ACCAACCACAUUCUAUUAAGCCUAAGAGGCUUUUGAUUCUUCUCUGAAGCAGUGAGGGAGGCGGGUGUGGUCUCCAGCCAGGAAGCAGCUGAAAAAGUGUGGGCCUCGGAGACUAAGUUCAUCACAGCACCAGAUGGCACCAUUCAUCAGGUCCUGCUAUGGGCACCAGGUUCCUCUGCUGUGUUGUCCUUUGUCUCGUCAGAGUAGGCCUCAAGGAUGCUGUAGUCACACAGUUCCCAAGACAUAAGAUCUUGGGGACAGGAAAGAAAUUAAUCCUCCAGUGCACACAGGAUAUGAAUCACUUUUCAAUGUACUGGUAUCGCCAAGACCCUGGAUCUGGCCUGCAGCUGAUCUACUACUCAACUGGUACUGAAGCCUUUGAAAAAGGAGACGUCCCUGAGGGGUAUCACGUCUCUCGAAACGAGUUGCCGAAUUUUCCCCUGACCCUGGACUCUGCCAGCACCAAUCAGACAUCUGUGUAUUUCUGUGCGAGCAGUUUAUCCACAGCGCUGCACAGCCACAUCCUCUCUGCACAAGAAAGAGGCGAACCAAGGAGGGAGGGGACACUGCCUUCAAGAUUCCCAAACCGUGGGGCACCUGGGUGGCUAAGCCCGUGAAGCCUCCGACUUUGGCUCAGGUCGUGAUCUUGUGGUUCGUGAAUUCCAGCCCUGCGUCCAACCUGCUUCUGAUUCUCUCUCUCUCUCUCUCUCUCUCUCUCUGCCCCUCCCCCACUUGUUCUCUCCCUCUCUCUCUCUGUCAAAAAUGAAUAAAAAUUUUAAAAUUAAAAAAACAGAUUCCUAACCCAAAUUAGGGAAAGUUAUCACAUGAGAUUGUAUGGAAUCCCUGC